CACAUGCACGUGACCGCCCCGGAAGGCGGGAGCCGGAGGCCGGGUGGGUCCAAAAUAGCCUGAAGACAGCUUUGCGCUUAUUCCCGGACUGCAUCUGCGUUGGAGAAGAGAGAGAUCUGGAUCUCAUAGGGGUGCGGGCGCAGAGGUCGAAAGGGAGAAUUCCUGGAGGACCCCCAAACCCAGAGCCUGGCCUGCCUGGAGCCAGCCGCAAGCCCAUUUUAUCCUCCAUCGCUCUUUAGAAAAAGUGUAGUUUGGUACUUUAAAAAUAGAUUUGACUUUCCCUUGGGUUUAAUAACUUUGCCAGUGCAACAAACAUUGAUCUUCCGAUUUAAAAUGAGAAACUGACGCUGAGACCUAAGUCACCAAAGUUACUAGUCUUAGAGUUGCAGAUCGAGCAAGUAAUGAUCAGAAGUGGAUACUGAGCUCAUUGAAAGGCCAAGUUUUCUCUGAAGGCUGUGCAGGAGAAUCCAUUUCCUUGCCUUCCCCAGAAUCCAUUUCCUUGCCUUCACCCCCAGCUUUUGGUCAUGCCCUUCUCUAUAUACACUUAUCAUAAUUUGGUAAGUGAAGAAAUAAAUGGGCCCUUAAUUAUG